CGUCGACGGUCACCACCACCGCCACUAGCAAUAAUCACCGGAACGGUGGUUCGGUGGUAGCGAAACCGCUGCUCGCUGCAGUCUCCUGAAGGCUUGGGCCUCCAACUGCCACCCGAUACUGGUCCUCCGAUCCAUAAAGACGUCCAGUCGUGCUGCAGAGUGCUGAAAUGUCGGAAAUAGAAGGUGAGGGCCUCUUUACGAGCUCUGUCACGACCAUGUUGCUUGAGUAUCAUCGUAGAUAGAUAAACAAGUGUCAGUGGAAGAAGUCACGGGAACAAGAGUAAUUCAGCGUAUGCGUGCAAAAAUAUUCGCAGGACGCUUCGGAGCAGGAUGAUACACAAGAUGAAACUACGGAAACAACGGAAGUUGACCAUGAGGUAGCAAGCAAGAUAGAGGAAUCGGAUAACUCAGAGUUGUCAGAAAAAUCAUUUACGAAGGAAACAGAGGAGGAACGAGAGGAAGUUAAUGACAAGAAACAAGAGGAAGUUAAGGAGAAGGAUCGAGAAGAAGUAAAAGCGACCGAACAAGAAGAAAUAAAGGAACAAAAA
rnacentral:misc_RNA from 1 species